GGAUGCGAUCAUACCAGCACUAAAGCACCGGAUCCCAUCAGAACUCCAAAGUUAAGCGUGCUUGGGCGAGAGAAGUACUAGGAUGGGUGACCUCCUGGGAAGUCCUCGUGUUGCAUUCC
rnacentral:rRNA from 2 species